UGUGUGUAAACAGUCAUCAGUGUGCGUUGUGUGAUGAGAGGCUGACAGGAAGGGAGUGUGUCGCUCAUGUCUUUCAUCUGGAAACGCAGGAUUUAGGAAGAGGAAACUGCAAACACUCAUUUCUGUCCCGCGAUGCUCUUUGAUGUCUCGCGGUCGACUGUUGCAGCGAAUGUGUUUCCGGCUUCAGGUUCAGACUCACACCUGAAGCUGAAGAGAAACACGCAGACAGGGAACCAACAAGGACGGGUCGGUUCUGCUCCUGCAUCGUCACACGGUGUUCAGCGAUCGAUCAUUUAACUCAGAGAAUCCAACCUUUUAUACACGUGGCGUGUUCGGUCCUGCCUCACACCUGGGGGGGGCGGAGCUUCAGCGAGUAAAGCCAGGUAAAGCUUCAGUGUUUCAUCCUGCUGCCUCAGACCGGAGGAAACACUGCAGCAGCAUCUGAAGGAUGGAGCUCCAGUGAGGCCCGCGCUGCGCUAGCAGGUCCCACCAUGAGCGCCACCUUCUCUCCUCCGUCUUACCUGAGCUUCGGCGUGUCUCCCCCCUCCGGCCACCGGGAGGAUCGCUCCGUGCCCUUCCUCCUCUACCCUUCGGGCAUGGACCCUCUGAGGGGCCCCGGGCUGCUGCCCUACCUGGCCCCCUUCCACCACCGCGGCCACUUCAGCGUGUACGAGUGUCCCUUCGAGCCGGCCUUCAUCCAAAAGCGCAACGAGCGCGAGCGGGCAGAGGGUGAGGUGCGUGAACCAAGGCUACGCCAAACUCAGGGACCACCUGCCGGGUCAGAGCGCCGACAAGCGCCUCAGCAAGGUGGAGACGCUGAGGGCCGCCAUCAGGUACAUCAAGUACCUGCAGGGCCUGGUGGAGGUGGAGGAGAGUCUGACGGAGAACUGAGGACAACUUCCUGUUUGACUUGAACGGAGGCAGAGACACCCGACGGCUGCUCCUCUGUGGACGUGCAUUAGAAGGACCAACAGCUAUUGCAAUAAUUACAAUAAAAAUAGAUGCAUUAGACAUUUAUGUGUUUUUAUUAGUGCAGAGUGUCUGAACCGGAGAGGACAGAACAAACACUGGGACUAAAAACGAGCCACUUACUACUUUUCCAUUUCUUGUUGCAGAGCUUUUACUCU
ensembl:lncRNA